AUCUGAUAACUGGCAAGGGGGGAGUGCCAAUGUACAGGGGGCAUGUUUACUGGUCAAAUGAGUGCCAGUCAGUCAAGUCCGUCCCACAGUACACAGCAAAGCUGGAGAUGAUGUUAACCGAAACACUUGGAGAGGGUUUUGUGGUUUAGUUUGUGGUUUUUCGCUCAACAUUCAUCUCGACCCUACAGAGGGUUUGUGGUUAGAAGGAAAAUCACAGGUGGAAAGUAAAUUACCUACUGUACUAUUUAAUAUGUGGUUGUUAUUUCUGUUGUUACUACUGGAGGGCAGUAUGUGAUAAUUGAUAUAAAGAGCACAAUGAGAAAAGGACGCUGUGAAGUGAUGUAACAAUAUUUGUUGUUAUGAAAAUGUCAGCAGUAUUUAUUGAGAAACAGCCUCUUUAUUUGAGAAAUACAACAUCUGCCUCCACCCUAAACCUACUUCUUACUCAUAUCCCUUAAUCAUUCCUCCACCCUUACCCUAAUUUCGAUAAAACAAUUCUGGGAACUAAAGGCGCCUCGGAUAUCCUUUUGAUUACCCCAGAACUUAAAAAUGUAUUUUUUUUUAUAACUUAAUGUAUAACUUAAAAAUGUAUUUUAAGUGCCUCAAAGCUCUUUUUCUCAUAAUAGGAUUCAUUGAGGAACCAUAGUCUUUGCAGUUUGUGCAGGAGCUCCUUUCCUCAAAGAACCAACCGCUGCUCAAGAAAAUCCAGUAUACAUGAGUUCUCUUUAAAUCUCAACAGAGCAGCACUAUAGUCAUAAAGGCAGUCGCAGUAUAUUUCGGCUAUGAGUGAAACGCAGGGCGGCGGUCUCAGCCGUGAGCAGUUCCCCGCCGAACACGACUCCAGCUCGGGCACGAGAACCAGCGCGGCGCGGCGCGGCGCGGCGCGGCGCAGUUACGGUGUCUGACUAUCCAGUUUGCCCUACCUG
ensembl:lncRNA